GACGAACGCUGGCGGCGUGCUUAACACAUGCAAGUCGAGCGGUAAGGCCCUUUCGGGGGUACACGAGCGGCGAACGGGUGAGUAACACGUGGGUGACCUGCCCUCAGCUCUGGGAUAAGCCUGGGAAACCGGGUCUAAUACUGGAUAUGACUCCAUGACGCAUGUUGUGGGGUGGAAAGCCUUGUGCGGCUGAGGAUGGGGCCCCGCGGCCUAUCAGCUUGGUUGGUGGGGUGANGGCCUACCAAGGCGACGACGGGUAGCCGGCCUGAGAGGGCGACCGGCCACACUGGGACUGAGACACGGCCCCAGACUCCUACGGGAGGCAGCAGUGGGGAAUUUUGCGCAAUGGGCGAAAGCCUGACGCAGUAACGCCGCGUGGAGGA
rnacentral:rRNA from 1 species